AACGCAUCUUGCGCUCUCGGGUUAUUCCUGAGAGCAUGCUUGUUGGAGUGUCGCGAAACUCUCAACCCCGCCUAAUCUGUUUUGGAUUGGGUUGUUUGGGCUUGGAUCAUGACCUUUUUUGCCGAAUCCCUUGGGACUGGGCUGGGUUGAAAUACAUCAAGCUGAAUCAUAACGUGCGGCUUGACCUGUUGUUGUAAGCAUCCACUUUCAAUGGGAACGCAUGAUUUGAAUGAGCUUUACAAAUGGAUGAACUCUGGGAGUGAGACCUUUGCGGGUUUUGCGUCCAGUGCAUUCUGACCUCCAAUCAAGUAGGACUACCCGCUGAACUUAA
rnacentral:misc_RNA from 1 species